GACGAACGCUGGCGGCGUGCUUAACACAUGCAAGUCGAACGGAAAGGCCCUGCUUGCAGGGUACUCGAGUGGCGAACGGGUGAGUAACACGUGGGUGAUCUGCCCUGCACUUCGGGAUAAGCCUGGGAAACUGGGUCUAAUACCGGAUAGGAGCCAUUUUUAGUGUGAUGGUUGGAAAGUUUUUUCGGUGUAGGAUGAGCUCGCGGCCUAUCAGCUUGUUGGUGGGGUAAUGGCCUACCAAGGCGGCGACGGGUAGCCGGCCUGAGAGGGUGGACGGCCACAUUGGGGCUGAGAUACGGCCCAGACUCCUACGGGAGGCAGCAGUGGGGAAUAUUGGACAAUGGGCGCGAGCCUGAUGCAGCGAAGCCGCGUGGGGGAAGACGGGCUUCGGGUUGUAAACUCCUUUCGCUAGGGACGAAGCUUUUUGUGACGGUACCUAGAUAAGAAGCGCCGGCUAACUACGUG
rnacentral:rRNA from 1 species